UUCGAUUCUGGCUCAGGAUGAACGCUAGCGGCAGGCCUAAUACAUGCAAGUCGUACGGGAUCUCCCCUUCGGGGGAGUGAGAGUGGCGCACGGGUGCGUAACGCGUAUGCAACCAACCCUCAUCCGGGGGACAGCCGGUGGAAACGCCGGGUAAUACCCCAUAUCCACUUUGGGAGGCAUCUUCUGAGGUGGAAAGACUUAGGUCGGAGGAGGACGGGCAUGCGUCCCAUUAGCUAGUCGGCGGGGUGACGGCCCGCCGAGGCGACGAUGGGUAGGGGAUCUGAGAGGACGGUCCCCCACACUGGUACUGAGACACGGACCAGACUCCUACGGGAGGCAGCAGUAAGGAAUAUUGGGCAAUGGGGGGAACCCUGACCCAGCCCAUGCCGCGUGAGGGAAGUAGGCCCUACGGGUCGUGAACCUCUUUUGUCCAGGGACAAGGACGGCGUCGGGAACGUCGUUUGAGGGUACUGGAAGAAUAAGCAUCGGCUAACUCCGUGCCAGCCGCCGC
rnacentral:rRNA from 1 species